CGGUUAAGUUAGAAAGGGCGCACGGUGGAUGCCUUGGCACUAGGAGCCGAUGAAGGACGGGACGAACACCGAUAUGCUUCGGGGAGCUGUAAGCAAGCUUUGAUCCGGAGAUUUCCGAAUGGGGAAACCCACCACUCGUAAUGGAGUGGUAUCCAUAUCUGAAUACAUAGGAUAUGAGAAGGCAGACCCGGGGAACUGAAACAUCUAAGUACCCGGAGGAAGAGAAAGCAAAUGCGAUUCCCUGAGUAGCGGCGAGCGAAACGGGACCAGCCCAAACCAAGAGGCUUGCCUCUUGGGGUUGUAGGACACUCUGUACGGAGUUACAAAGGAACGAGGUAGAUGAAGAGGUCUGGAAAGGCCCGCCAUAGGAGGUAACAGCCCUGUAGUCAAAACUUCGUUCUCUCCUGAGUGGAUCCUGAGUACGGCGGAACACGUGAAAUUCCGUCGGAAUCCGGGAGGACCAUCUCCCAAGGCUAAAUACUCCCUAGUGACCGAUAGUGAACCAGUACCGUGAGGGAAAGGUGAAAAGCACCCCGGAAGGGGAGUGAAAGAGAUCCUGAAACCGUGUGCCUACAAGUAGUCAGAGCCCGUUAACGGGUGAUGGCGUGCCUUUUGUAGAAUGAACCGGCGAGUUACGAUCCCGUGCAAGGUUAAGCAGAAGAUGCGGAGCCGCAGCGAAAGCGAGUCUGAAUAGGGCGAAUUGAGUACGUGGUCGUAGACCCGAAACCAGGUGAUCUACCCAUGUCCAGGGUGAAGUUCAGGUAACACUGAAUGGAGGCCCGAACCCACGCACGUUGAAAAGUGCGGGGAUGAGGUGUGGGUAGGGGUGAAAUGCCAAUCGAACCUGGAGAUAGCUGGUUCUCUCCGAAAUAGCUUUAGGGCUAGCCUCAAGGUAAGAGUCUCGGAGGUAGAGCACUGAUUGGACUAGGGGCCCCUACCGGGUUACCGAAUUCAGUCAAACUCCGAAUGCCGAUGACUUAUCCUUGGGAGUCAGACUGCGAGUGAUAAGAUCCGUAGUCAAAAGGGAAACAGCCCAGACCGCCAGCUAAGGUCCCAAAGUAUACGUUAAGUGGAAAAGGAUGUGGAGUUGCUUAGACAACCAGGAUGUUGGCUUAGAAGCAGCCACCAUUUAAAGAGUGCGUAAUAGCUCACUGGUCGAGUGACUCUGCGCCGAAAAUGUACCGGGGCUAAACGUAUCACCGAAGCUGCGGACUGUUCUUCGAACAGUGGUAGGAGAGCGUUCUAAGGGCUGUGAAGCAAGACCGGAAGGACUUGUGGAGCGCUUAGAAGUGAGAAUGCCGGUAUGAGUAGCGAAAGAGGGGUGAGAAUCCCCUCCACCGAAUGCCUAAGGUUUCCUGAGGAAGGCUCGUCCGCUCAGGGUUAGUCGGGACCUAAGCCGAGGCCGAAAGGCGUAGGCGAUGGAUAACAGGUUGAUAUUCCUGUACCACCUCCUCACCAUUUGAGCAAUGGGGGGACGCAGGAGGAUAGGGUAAGCGCGGUAUUGGAUAUCCGCGUCCAAGCAGUUAGGCUGGGAAAUAGGCAAAUCCGUUUCCCGUGAAGGCUGAGCUGUGAUGGCGAGCGAAUUAUAGUAGCGAAGUUCCUGAUUCCACACUGCCAAGAAAAGCCUCUAGCGAGGUGAGAGGUGCCCGUACCGCAAACCGACACAGGUAGGCGAGGAGAGAAUCCUAAGGUGAUCGAGAGAACUCUCGUUAAGGAACUCGGCAAAAUGACCCCGUAACUUCGGGAGAAGGGGUGCUCUGUUAGGGUGCAAGCCCGAGAGAGCCGCAGUGAAUAGGCCCAGGCGACUGUUUAGCAAAAACACAGGUCUCUGCGAAGCCGUAAGGCGAAGUAUAGGGGCUGACGCCUGCCCGGUGCUGGAAGGUUAAGAGGAGCGCUUAGCGUAAGCGAAGGUGCGAAUUGAAGCCCCAGUAAACGGCGGCCGUAACUAUAACGGUCCUAAGGUAGCGAAAUUCCUUGUCGGGUAAGUUCCGACCCGCACGAAAGGCGCAACGAUCUGGGCACUGUCUCAACGAGAGACUCGGUGAAAUUAUAGUACCUGUGAAGAUGCAGGUUACCCGCGACAGGACGGAAAGACCCCGUGGAGCUUUACUGCAGCCUGAUAUUGAAUGUUGGUACAGCUUGUACAGGAUAGGUAGGAGCCUUGGAAACCGGAGCGCCAGCUUCGGUGGAGGCAUCGGUGGGAUACUACCCUGGCUGUAUUGACCUUCUAACCCGCCGCCCUUAUCGGGCGGGGAGACAGUGUCAGGUGGGCAGUUUGACUGGGGCGGUCGCCUCCUAAAAGGUAACGGAGGCGCCCAAAGGUUCCCUCAGAAUGGUUGGAAAUCAUUCGCAGAGUGUAAAGGCACAAGGGAGCUUGACUGCGAGACCUACAAGUCGAGCAGGGACGAAAGUCGGGCUUAGUGAUCCGGUGGUUCCGCAUGGAAGGGCCAUCGCUCAACGGAUAAAAGCUACCCCGGGGAUAACAGGCUUAUCUCCCCCAAGAGUCCACAUCGACGGGGAGGUUUGGCACCUCGAUGUCGGCUCAUCGCAUCCUGGGGCUGUAGUCGGUCCCAAGGGUUGGGCUGUUCGCCCAUUAAAGCGGUACGCGAGCUGGGUUCAGAACGUCGUGAGACAGUUCGGUCCCUAUCCGUCGCGGGCGCAGGAAAUUUGAGAGGAGCUGUCCUUAGUACGAGAGGACCGGGAUGGACGCACCGCUGGUGUACCAGUUGUUCUGCCAAGGGCAUCGCUGGGUAGCUAUGUGCGGACGGGAUAAGUGCUGAAAGCAUCUAAGCAUGAAGCCCCCCUCAAGAUGAGAUUUCCCAUUCCGCAAGGAAGUAAGAUCCCUGAAAGAUGAUCAGGUUGAUAGGUCUGAGGUGGAAGUGUGGCGACACAUGGAGCUGACAGAUACUAAUCGAUCGAGGACUUAACCAAUUU
rnacentral:rRNA from 2 species